UCCUUUUUAGCUCAGUUGGUAAAGAAUCUGCCUGCAAUGCAGGAGACCUGGGUUCGAUUCUUGAAUCAGGAA
rnacentral:tRNA from 1 species